AAAUGUGAAUUCUCCUUUACAGUCAGAAGAAGAAGUUGCAGAAGGAGAGAAAGAAGUGGAUGCUUUGAAGAAAAGUGUAGACUGGGUGUCCGACUGGUCCAGUAGACCUGAAAACAUUCCACCUAAGGAGUUCCACUUCAGGCACCCUAAACGUUCCGUUUCCUUAAGCAUGAGAAAAAGUGGAGCCAUGAAGAAAGGGGGGAUUUUCUCUGCAGAAUUUCUUAAGGUGUUCAUUCCAUCUCUCUUCCUUUCCCAUGUUUUGGCUUUGGGGCUAGGCAUCUACAUUGGAAAACGACUCAGCACACCUUCUGCCAGCACUUACUGAGGGAAAAGAAGAGCCCCUGGGAAAGCGUGUGACUUGUGAAGUGGUGUAUUGUCACAGUAGUUUAUUUGAACUUGAGACCAUUGUAAGCAUGACCCAACCUACACCCUAUUUUUACAUAUCCAAGUUCCAGUAACUCUCAAAUCCAGUAUUUUAUUCAAACUCUGUUGAGGCAUUUUACUAACCUCAUUCCCUUUUUGGCCUGUAAAACACUUUAGAAUUUCCUAACAGAGUUUACUGUUGUUUAGAAAUUUGCAAGGGCUUCUUUUCUGCAAAUGCCACCAGCAGAUUAUAAUUUUGUCAACAAUGCUGUUGUCUCCUUUUAGUACCACCAGACUUAGAACCUGCAUCAUUCAUGGUAUAAAUUUUACUCUUGCAAGAUAACCCAUCUUUCUCUUACAGCAAGACAAGGUUAGCAAAUGAUAUAAAAGCUUUGUUGUUUUCUUUUUUUUUUAAGACAAAGGCAAGCUUCCCUAAGCUUGAAUUUAUAGUUAUUAAAAAAGAAAACAAAAACAAACAAAAUAGGACACAAGAAAAGAAAAUAUCCUGGGCAAUAAAAAAUUAUUUUAAACCAGCUUUGGAGCCACUUUUUGUCUAAGCCUCUUAAUGGCGCCUUUUAAUUUGUAGGAGGCAAGCUAUAUAAAUGAUAGGUAUAAAAUAGAAGAACUAGAAUACAUCAGCAGAUUUUAAUACUAGUAUGUUAUAAUGCUGUCUUUUCUAUGGUGUAGAAUCUUUAUUUCUGGUAAGGAAUGUCUCAGGCCUAGAAAUGUAUGAAAUUGCUUUGGGGACUUCUUUGUGUGUAUUUGGUAUUUUUAUGUUUAUUAGCUGCAUGUGAAUUUUUCAUGACUUUGAUUUUUUUUUUAUUUUUUUAUUUUUUCCUAAGAGGCUUUGGAAUGAGUUCCAAUUUGUGGUAUAAAUACAGGCUUCUUGUUUUAGGAAGCAUCACUUACACUCUGAAGCCUUUAAACUCUGAAGAUAAUUGUUUCAGAGUUAUUUCAAGCACUUGGGCAACUUUGAAAACCAGACUUGGGUUGUGGGAACAGUUGACAGAGUUCUGAAGAGAUGCCAUUGGUUUUCUGCUCUCUCCCUUUCUCAUGUUUACUGUACAACCUGCCCAGGGCGAUUCCUGUGAUUGUGCAGGCACUAGCCAUUUCCUUCUCCUGUAGCCAUCUUUUCAGUUAUGUUCAACUCCUGAAGUUCCAGAACACUCAACAACUUCCUCUAAUGAUAUACUUUUUGGUUCAUUUCUCAAUGUGAAGCUUUAGGACCAAAUUGUUAGAAAGCAACAGAUUUACCAGUCAUUUCAAGUAGGUUUAUUGACUUUCUGAACACACAGCAUGAUUCUGAAGGAUACUGUUAUAUGUUUUAUAUAUAAAUAAUUACUGUUUAUGGUAUAGGCAUUGAAUAUUUAGAGAGCCAUCGUUAAUUUGAAGGCUAGCAAUCUAUUCAGUAAAUAAGGAGCAUCAGGUUGACUUGAAUAAAAGCACUCUGACCACCAGGUUUGCUAGUUUGCAGAAACUAUCUGAGUCUUUUCUCUCUUGUAUGAAGUUUUGUAAAGUUGAUGUGUUAUAGUGGAAAAUAACAUACAGAUUAAACAAAAAAAUUAAUUUCUGACUCUCUUUUUUCAAGAAUGUAGCUGGCUGUCUUUAAGAAAGAUGAGAUAUCCAAAUAGUCUUCUGAAUUCUUUGACUUUGUUUUUCUUUCUAGAUUUUGGUGUCUAAAUAAUUUUGGACAUUUUUAAAAUUAUUCCUUGUUUCUAUCUUAUUCACAAAUCUGAUAACACUUGAUUUGCCUUCUGUAACCUAUUUAUUUCAAGUCUUCAUAUUUCUUUGGGAAGAAAGUAAAUCUGCUGGCCCGCUGACUUUGAAAAGCCUGAAUAAAAUUGGAAAGGCCGGUAAAGUUAGGAGAACUAAAGAGCUAAACCGUUCUAACAUACAAUUUGUAUUACAGUUGGUAUCAUGGGAGGAAAAAGUAAAAUUAUACUUAAAGAAAAGCAGCUUUUUACAGGCAACACAUUACUCUCUUUUGAAAUUCAGUAGUAAUCUUGUCAGGUGUGUGGCUGAAUUUGGGUAUAUUUGUGGGUUUUUUUCCAACAUUGAAAAUAAAUUUAGUCCUGCCCUUUUUCUUAAAAUAGCUCUGAAAUUUUGGACUAUUACUUAAAACAUGAAUACAUGAUCACAGUAGAACUUAAUCAGAAGAUGAAGUCAUGCAGUAUUUAUUGGUAACCCUAACAUCUGGGGUAAAUGUUUAUGCUCCUACCCAGGUUUGUGUUGAAUGGAAACAGAUUGUGGGAUUGGAAAGGAGAAUUCGACAAUUAACAGUUGACAUUUUUAAGAUUAAUGUUUAGAAAGCUUUACACCUGUUUACAAUUUGAGGACGAAAAGGCAGUCUUCAUUUUUCUUAUGUUUGAUGAAAACUGGCUUAAGAUAUUUGUAAAUAUAAUCAAGAGCAGAACUGCACAAACUUGCACAUGGAAAAGUGCAGCAAGUUACUUUGAUUGCAGUAAAAAACAUCUAUUCUAAAAAAUGAAAACUGAAGACUUAGAUGAAUUUUCAAGUGAACCAGUUGUUGAAAUUAUCGAAAUUAACUGAGCCAAAGUGAUUAUGCAUUCUUCAUCUAUUUAGUUAGCACUUUGUAUCAUUAUAUACAGUUUACAAUCCAUGUAUAACUUGUAGCUACAAACAUUUUGUGCCAUUAAAGCUCUCACAGAA